ACCCGCACAAGCGGCGGAGCAUGCGGCUUAAUUCGAUGAUACCCGUAGAACCUUACCUGGACUUGACAUAUAGGGAAAAACUAAAGAAAUUUAGUGUGCGUAAGCGCCCUAUACAGGUGGUGCAUGGCUGUCGUCAGCUCGUGUCGUGAGAUGUUGGUUAAGUCCCGCAACGAGCGCAACCCCCUGUCCUAUGUUGCCAGCAAGUAAUGUUGGGGACUCAUAGGAGACUGCCGUGAUAAACCGGAGGAAGGUGUGGAUGACGUCAAGUCAUCAUGCCCUUACAUCUGGGCUACACACGUACUACAAUGCUACGGACAAAGGGCUGCAAGUUCGCGAGGACAAGCAAAUCCCAUAAACGUGGCUCAGUUCAGA
rnacentral:rRNA from 1 species